rnacentral:rRNA from 1 species
CCUACGGGAGGCAGCAGUAGGGAAUAAUGCUCAAUGGGGGAAACCCUGAAGCAGCAACGCCGCGUGGAGGAUGAAGGUUUUCGGAUUGUAAACUCCUUUUGUUAGAGAAGAUAAUGACGGUAUCUAACGAAUAAGCACCGGCUAACUCCGUGCCAGCCGCCGCGGUAAUACGGAGGGUGCAAGCGUUACUCGGAAUCACUGGGCGUAAAGGGCGCGUAGGCGGGAUAGCAAGUCAGAUGUGAAAUCCUAUGGCUUAACCAUAGAACUGCAUUUGAAACUGUUAUUCUAGAGUAUGGGAGAGGUAGGUGGAAUUCUUGGUGUAGGGGUAAAAUCCGUAGAGAUCAAGAGGAAUACUCAUUGCGAAGGCGACCUGCUAGAACAUAACUGACGCUGAUGCGCGAAAGCGUGGGGAGCAAACAGGAUUAGAUACCCGGGUAGUC